rnacentral:rRNA from 1 species
AACGAACGCUGGCGGCAUGCCUAACACAUGCAAGUCGAACGAGAUCUUCGGGGCUAGUGGCGCACGGGUGCGUAACGCGUGGGAAACUUCCCCCAGGGUCGGAAUAACCAUUGGAAACGAUGGCUAAUACCGGAUGAUGACGUUAAGUCCAAAGAUUUAUCGCCUGAGGAUGAGCCCGCGUAGGAUUAGCUAGUUGGUGUGGUAAAGGCGCACCAAGGCGACGAUCCUUAGCUGGUCUGAGAGGAUGAUCAGCCACACUGGGACUGAGACACGGCCCAGACUCCUACGGGAGGCAGCAGUGGGGAAUAUUGGACAAUGGGCGAAAGCCUGAUCCAGCAAUGCCGCGUGAGUGAUGAAGGCCUUAGGGUUGUAAAGCUCUUUUACCCGGGAUGAUAAUGACAGUACCGGGAGAAUAAGCUCCGGCUAACUCCGUG